rnacentral:rRNA from 1 species
UGCGGCCAAGUUGGUAAGGGCGCACGGUGGAUGCCUAGGCACCAGGAGCCGAUGAAGGACGUGGGAGGCUGCGUUAAGCCUCGGGGAGCUGCCAACCGAGCGUUGAUCCGAGGAUGUCCGAAUGGGGGAACCCGGCACCCGUCAUGGGGUGUCACCCACGCCUGAACACAUAGGGCGUGUGGAGGGCACGCGGGGAAGUGAAACAUCUCAGUACCCGCAGGAAGAGAAAGCAACCGCGAUUCCGUGAGUAGUGGCGAGCGAAAGCGGAUCAGGCUAAACCUCGUCUGUGUGAUACCCGGCAGGGGUUGCAGGCGGGGGGUUGUGGGGCGUGUCGUCCUGGCGCUGCCGCGCUGGGGAGGAAGUGAGAAACCGCUGGGGUAGUCGAAGGCUCUGGGAAGGGCCGGCGGAGAAGGUAACACCCCUGUAGGCGAAACUCUAGCGGCUUCCUGGACGCUGUCCCCGAGUAGCACGGGGCCCGAGAAAUCUCGUGUGAAUCUGCCAGGACCACCUGGUAAGCCUAAAUACUUCCUGGUGACCGAUAGCGGACUAGUACCGUGAGGGAAAGGUGAAAAGUACCCCGGGAGGGGAGUGAAAGAGUACCUGAAACCGUGUGCCUACAAGCCGUCGGAGCCUUCCUUGUGGGGGUGACGGCGUGCCUUUUGAAGAAUGAGCCUGAGAGUUAGCGGCGUGUGGCGAGGUUAACCCGUGUGGGGGAGCCGGAGCGAAAGCGAGUCCGAAUAGGGCGCUUCUAGUCGCACGUCCUAGACCCGAAGCGGGGUGAUCUACCCAUGGGCAGGGUGAAGCGCGGGUAAGACCGCGUGGAGGCCCGAACCCACCAGGGUUGAAAACCUGGGGGAUGACCUGUGGGUAGGGGUGAAAGGCCAAUCAAACUCCGUGAUAGCUGGUUCUCCCCGAAAUGCAUUUAGGUGCAGCGUCAUGUGGUGCUUGCCGGAGGUAGAGCUACUGGAUGGCCUAGGGGCCCUACCAGGUUACUGAAGUCAGCCAAACUCCGAAUGCCGGUAAGCGUGUAGCGUGGCAGUGAGACGGCGGGGGAUAAGCUUCGUCGUCGAGAGGG